ACGCUGAAGGAGGAGCUUGCUUCUCCGGAUGAGUUGCGAACGGGUGAGUAACGCGUAGGUAACCUGCCUGGUAGUGGGGGAUAACUAUUGGAAACGAUAGCUAAUACCGCAUAAUAGCAGUUGUUGCAUGACAACUGUUUGAAAGGUGCAAUUGCACCACUACCAGAUGGACCUGCGUUGUAUUAGCUAGUUGGUGGGGUAACGGCUCACCAAGGCGACGAUACAUAGCCGACCUGAGAGGGUGAUCGGCCACACUGGGACUGAGACACGGCCCAGACUCCUACGGGAGGCAGCAGUAGGGAAUCUUCGGCAAUGGACGGAAGUCUGACCGAGCAACGCCGCGUGAGUGAAGAAGGUUUUCGGAUCGUAAAGCUCUGUUGUAAGAGAAGAACGAGUGUGAGAGUGGAAAGUUCACACUGUGACGGUAUCUUACCAGAAAGGGACGGCUAACUACGUGCCAGCAGCCGCGGUAAUACGUAGGUCCCGAGCGUUGUCCGGAUUUAUUGGGCGUAAAGCGAGCGCAGGCGGUUAGAUAAGUCUGAAGUUAAAGGCUGUGGCUUAACCAUAGUACGCUUUGGAAACUGUUUAACUUGAGUGCAAGAGGGGAGAGUGGAAUUCCAUGUGUAGCGGUGAAAUGCGUAGAUAUAUGGAGGAACACCGGUGGCGAAAGCGGCUCUCU
rnacentral:rRNA from 1 species